AUACGGGGGGUGCAAGCGUUAAUCGGCAUUACUGGGCGUAAAGCGCGCGUAGGCGGUUUGCUCAGUCGGAUGUGAAAGCCCAGGGCUCAACCUUGGAACUGCAUACGAUACUGGCAAACUAGAGUGUGAGAGAGGAUAGUGGAAUUUCCGGUGUAGCGGUGAAAUGCGUAGAUAUCGGAAGGAACAUCAGUGGCGAAGGCGACUGUCUGGCUCAACACUGACGCUGAGGUGCGAAAGCGUGGGUAGCAAACAGGAUUAGAAACCCCAGUAGUCC
rnacentral:rRNA from 1 species